AGUGAACGCUGGCGGUAGGCCUAACACAUGCAAGUCGAACGGCAGCACAGUAAGAGCUUGCUCUUACGGGUGGCGAGUGGCGGACGGGUGAGGAAUACAUCGGAAUCUACUUUUUCGUGGGGGAUAACGUAGGGAAACUUACGCUAAUACCGCAUACGACCUACGGGUGAAAGCAGUGGAUCUUCGGACCUUGCGCGAUUGAAUGAGCCGAUGUCGGAUUAGCUAGUUGGCGGGGUAAAGGCCCACCAAGGCGACGAUCCGUAGCUGGUCUGAGAGGAUGAUCAGCGACACUGGAACUGAGACACGGUCAAGACUCCUACGGGAGGCAGCAGUGGGGAAUAUUGGACAAUGGGCGCAAGCCUGAUCCAGCCAUACCGAGUGGGUGAAGAAGGCCUUCGGGUUGUAAAGCCCUUUUGUUGGGAAAGAAAAGCAGCAGGUUAAUACCCCGCUGUUCUGACGGUACCCAAAGAAUAAGCACCGGCUAACUUCGUG
rnacentral:rRNA from 1 species